rnacentral:rRNA from 1 species
UACGUAGGGUGCGAGCGUUGUCCGGAAUUAUUGGGCGUAAAGGGCUCGUAGGCGGUCUGUCGCGUCGGGUGUGAAAACUCAGGGCUUAACCCUGAGCCUGCUUCCGAUACGGGCAGACUAGAGGUAUGCAGGGGAGAACGGAAUUCCUGGUGUAGCGGUGGAAUGCGCAGAUAUCAGGAGGAACACCGGUGGCGAAGGCGGUUCUCUGGGCAUUACCUGACGCUGAGGAGCGAAAGUGUGGGGAGCGAACAGG